UGGGGAAUUUUGGACAAUGGGCGAAAGCCUGAUCCAGCAAUGCCGCGUGUGUGAAGAAGGCCUUCGGGUUGUAAAGCACUUUUGUCCGGAAAGAAAUCCUUGGCUCUAAUACAGUCGGGGGAUGACGGUACCGGAAGAAUAAGCACCGGCUAACUACGUGCCAGCAGCCGCGGUAAUACGUAGGGUGCAAGCGUUAAUCGGAAUUACUGGGCGUAAAGCGUGCGCAGGCGGUUUGCUAAGACCGAUGUGAAAUCCCCGGGCUCAACCUGGGAACUGCAUUGGUGACUGGCAGGCUAGAGUAUGGCAGAGGGGGGUAGAAUUCCACGUGUAGCAGUGAAAUGCGUAGAGAUGUGGAGGAAUACCGAUGGCGAAGGCAGCCCCCUGGGCCAAUACUGACGCUCAUGCACGAAAGCGUGGGGAGCAAACAGGAUUAGAUACCCUGGUAGUCCACGCCCUAAACGAUGUCAACUAGUUGUUGGGGGACUUCAUUUUCCUUAGUAACGUAGCUAACGCGUGAAGUUGACCGCCUGGGGAGUACGGUCGCAAGAUUAAAACUUAAAUGAAUUGACGGGGUCAUAGCUG
rnacentral:rRNA from 1 species